AGCUCCUCGAGUGGUGAGGACGAUUACUGGGCCUAAAGCGUUCGUAGCCGGCUUGGUGAGUCCUUCGUGAAAUCCGUCGACUUAAUCGUCGGGCGUGCGAAGGAGACCGCCAAGCUAGGGGGCGGGAGAAGUCGACGGUAUUCCCGGGGUAGGGGUGAAAUCCUAUAAUCCCGGGAGGACCACCAGUGGCGAAGGCGGUCGACUAGAACGUGCCCGACGGUGAUGGACGAAAGCUGGGGGAGCGAACCGGAUUAGAUACCCGAGUAGUCC
rnacentral:rRNA from 1 species